ACCUGGCAGACACUGACGAGGGUUAGCUAUGCUUGACAGACACAGCUGAGGGUUAACUAUGCCUGACAGACACAGUAAAGAUUAAUUAUGGCUGACAGACAUAGCUGAGGGUUAACUACGGCUGACAGACACUGCUGAGGGUUAAAUAAGCCUGACAGACACUGCUGAGGGUUAAAUAAGCCUGACAGACUCUGCUGAGGGUUAAAUAAGCCUGACAGACUCUGCUGAGGGUUAACUAUGGCUGACAGACACUGAUGAGGGUUAACUACGCUUGACAGACAUAGCUGAGGGUUAACUACGCCUGACAGACAUAGCUGAGGGUUAACUACGCCUGACAGACACUGAUGAGGGUUAACUAUGCCUGGCAGACACAGCUGAGGGUUAACUUCAGAGCAGAUAGGCUGUAUGGAGGGAGAAUGUUGUGUACGGUUGAUUGUUUCCGUCGUUUUAGUCCAGCAUCGGCUGGAAGACAUCCACAUGUCUGAAUUUGGACAUUCAACACAUAAAAUAUUCACUUUAUUUCUCCUAAAGUCACAACUUCAUUAAUAAAUUAAUACUAUAAGAUUGUGGACCUUUUGUUGUAAAUUAUAGAAAACAUUUGGGAGGAAUUUACUCCUUUCGGUUUUAAUGCGCAAA